rnacentral:misc_RNA from 1 species
GAUGAAGAACGCAGCAAAAUGCGAUAAGUAGUGUGAAUUGCAGAAUUCAGUGAAUCAUCGAAUCUUUGAACGCACAUUGCGCCCCCUGGUAUUCCGGGGGGCAUGCCUGUCCGAGCGUCAUUACAACCCUCAAGCUCAGCUUGGUGUUGGGCCCCGCCGCCCCGGCGGGCCCUAAAGUCAGUGGCGGUGCCGUCCGGCUCCGAGCGUAGUAAUUCUUCUCGCUCUGGAGGUCCGGUCGUGUGCUCGCCAGCAACCCCCAAUUUUUUUCAGGUUGACCUCGGAUCAGGUAGGGAUACCCGCUGAACUUAAGCAUAUCAAUAAGCGGAG